GAGUUUGAUCGUGGCUCAGAUUGAACGCUGGCGGCAUGCCUUACACAUGCAAGUCGAACGGCAGCAUGAUCUAGCUUGCUAGAUUGAUGGCGAGUGGCGAACGGGUGAGUAAUACAUCGGAACGUGCCCUGUAGUGGGGGAUAACUAGUCGAAAGAUUAGCUAAUACCGCAUACGACCUGAGGGUGAAAGUGGGGGACCGCAAGGCCUCAUGCUAUAGGAGCGGCCGAUGUCUGAUUAGCUAGUUGGUGGGUAAAGGCCCACCAAGGCGACGAUCAGUAGCUGGUCUGAGAGGACGAUCAGCCACACUGGGACUGAGACACGGCCCAGACUCCUACGGGAGGCAGCAGUGGGGAAUUUGGACAAUGGGCGAAAGCCUGAUCCAGCAAUGCCGCGUGUGUGAAGAAGG
rnacentral:rRNA from 1 species